rnacentral:lncRNA from 1 species
GGGCACACCUGUGGCAUACAGAAGUUCCCAGGCUAGGGGGUCGAAUCAGAGCUACAGCUGCUGGCCUACGCCACAGCCACAGCAGAUCCAAGCUGCAUUUGAGACCUACACCACAGCUCACCACAACACCGGAUUCCCAUUAAGCCACUGAGCAAGGCCAGGAACUGACCCACAUCCUCAUGAAUACUAGUUAGGUUCUUAACCUGACGAGCCACAGUAGGAACUCCAAAAAUAAUUCCGAAUAAAGAAAGCAUAGGCGGAGUUCCCAUCGUGGCUCAGUGGUUAACGAAUCCAACUAGGAACCAUGAGGUUGCGGGUUCGAUCCCUGGCCUUGCUCAGUGGGCUAAGGAUCCGGCAUUGCCGUGAGCUGUGGUGCAGGUUGCAGACACAGCUUGGAUCUUGUGUUGCUGUGGCUGUGGCAUAGGCCAGCGGCUACAGCUCCGACUAGACCCCUAGCCUGGGAACCUCCAUGUGCCACAGGAGUGGCCCUAGGAAAGGCAAAAAGACAAAAAAGAAAAAAAAAAAGAAAUCAUAGGAAAUAUGUAAAAUCCUGCUUUACAUCUUAGACUGUCUUUAUUGUUUAUUGUUUUUUAAUGAUUCACACAAAAUAUUUAUUUCUCACUUCUAUGAAUUCCAAAAUGGGUAUUCAUGGAGUUCCUGCUAUGGCACAAUGGGUUAAGGAUCCGACAUUGCCACAGCUGUGGCUCAGAUUCACUCCCAGGCCUGGGAACUUGUAUAUGCCUUGGGUGUGUCUGAAAAAGAAAAAAAAAAGAAAAGAAAAAGAAAAAUGGGUGUUCAUUUUUGAUGGGCAGCUGCAGAGGAAAGACUUUAAUUUUCGACUGCCACAGACAGUGAAAAAUAGCUCUCAGAUGUCAACUCUCUGCACUCUGUUAGGAAGCUUCCUUUACAGGUUAUAUACAUAUAUUAUUGCAGACAGUAUUUUCCAAAAGGGACUGAAACAGUAUCUCACACCCUGAGUGUUCUUUUUACAACUUGAUCUUAACACUCCUCUCAUGGAGAGGUGGCGUUUAUGGCUGUUCUCCUCAAACAUGGGCAAGUAUUUGUGACUGCCCCAAUCAAAAGAUCUCCAAAAUAUCACGCUGUUUCACCCUGCUCUCUUGGGACCCUGGCUCUAGGAAUUCACAAGCAUGCUGUGAUGAAACCCAAAACCAGCCAUGCAGAGAGCAUGUGGAGAAACCAUGUAGGGAUGUCCACAGCAUCCACUGCCAGAUGUGUGAAUGAAGAAGACUCUCCAGUUGAUUCUAGCCCGGAUCACUAAGCCUCCCAGCCUUCCAGUUUGUUGACAUUAAUGGUAAUCAUUUCAAAAUAUUAGUACAUACUAUUAUAACAAUAAUAAUGAGUUUGAUAUUAAUACAAAUUUUAAGCAGAAGCAAAGGAAUGUUCUUACAAAUGCUCAGAGGCUAGUUGCUCCCCAAAGCGCUAAUGUACAGCUUUUUUCCUUGCUCACUCUCCUCUACUUCACCUCCUUGAAAAGCUAACACAUGUUUGAUCAAAUCUAUGACACGCCACGCUGUGUGCAUCACCCCCUCUCUUAGUCCCUUCCCUCGCCUCACUCGCUAGCAUCAUCACCUGCUUUGGCAACUGCACAUCUACCAAGGUGUUUUCCAACAGUAGAGGAUUGGCUCUUCUACUCACCUUUUUCCUCUUAUUAAACCUCAAGGGACUGAUCUAAUGCCCUUUAACCAUCCUCCCUCUUUAAAAAAAAAUAAAUAAAUUAAGUCUUUUGGUUUGUUUUAGUGCUUCUUCUCACCCAGAAACUCCACCGGUAGGUUGAGGCCCUUGUCUGAUAGCCAGUGACAGAUGCCGAAUCCCAUCCUUACUGGUAUUUGCUCCUUGGAGAUGAAAAAAUAAAUGUUUUAUAAAGCUCAAAUUGGCCUUAUCAAACAAAACAUCUGCUAGAUCAGUGAAUGACUGGUAACAGCAGGAGACAGCAGUGCUGGCCUCUCCAAUAGAAGUCACUGCAGUUAAUGGAGGCUAUUAUGGGAAAAUUCUGGCAAGAAGUUUUCUUUUUCUUUUUUUUUCUCCUCCAGACAGCUAAAAUUUUUAAAAAGAAAAAAUGUAUUCAGUUGCUAGGGUAACUGUGGUUUCAAAACUACCGUAACAAAAGCCAGAUAUCACAUAUCAAACUACUAAAUUGUUAAUUUGACUGGUAUUUUAAAAUAACUACUUAAAAGAGAUGUUUUCUCCUUAUCUAGCUAUGGAGAACAGAGAAAAGGAGAAAAUAGGAGGAAAAUAAAGGAGAAGAGGAAGAAAGGAAACUGGUAGAUUUGUUUAAGAAAUGCUUUUGCUUUGCUAAAUAUUUGUUGGAAAUAAAAAUCCCUUCACUAUGUUAUAGAUACAUUUGCAUGCAGGAAUUAUUUAGUCAGAUUCAAAACAGAAGGAGGAUACUGAGUUAUCCUGUUUUCAAUUUCUCUUCCCACAUUCAAACCCUGCCUGCAUUUUUCUGUGAGCACUUAGCAAAGGAACUAGUUGCUUAGGAGAUCAGGCAUGUUCUGAAAUCUUUUAUGGGUGAUUGUGUUUUUUUCUGUGUCUUGCUUUUCAUCACUUGAUUUAAAGGGAAUAUAAUAAAGCCAUUAAGUACUUGGACUCUGGAAUCAGACAUAGCUAGGUCAGAAUUCCCUUUAUAUCUCUUACUAAAUUCCUUUAAUCUCUCUGAGCCUGUUUUUUAUUUAUAAAAAGGAUAUCAAGACAAAUGACUAUGUUACCUCAAUAAAUAAAAUGCAAGGAAAGAAAAAGAGGGAGAGAGACCUAUGAUUAAAAGAGACAUGAGAGACUAAAUGUGCAGAUAUUGCUUAGAUCUGAUUUGAAAAAAAAAAGAGCAAAUUGUAAAAAAUCAUUCAUAAGUGUAGAGUCUUGAACAAGGAUUAGAUUUUGAUAAUAUUAAACAAUUAUUUCAAAUGUGUUUAGGUAUGAUUAUAACAUGGCAUAUUGUUUUUUCUUAAGAGUCAUCAUCUUGUAUUUGCAUAAUAAUGGAAUAUUUACAAAUAAAAUAUGAUGUCUGAGAUCUGCUUUAAAAUAGAGGAGAAAAUGGAUGGAAUAAGGAUUGAACAAAUUUGGUUGUGAGCUGAAAAUUAUUGAUGCUGGGCGAUCGACAUAAAGGGGUUCAUUAUAAUAUACUCUCUACUUUCAAGUAUAUACUUGAGAUUUUUCCAUAAUAAAAGUUUAAAAAGAGAGAUAUCAGAAAUACUCAUAAUACUCACCUAAUAAGAUUAUCAUGCGGAUUAAAUGAGAUGCUGUGUAUAAAGUACUUGGCAUCGUGCCUGGUGUAUAAUAAUUGCUCAGUAAAUGUUAACUGUUAUUGUUACGAGACAGUAUCUCCUCUUUCCCACUGUGCAGACCUGUGAGAACCAGACCAUGAAAGGCAUGUGCUGCUGACUGGAGCAGCUAAACCUCACUCCUUCCAAAACAGGCAGCUGCUAGCGGUCCUUGCAUUCACCCUCUUCCAACCUGAUUUUGUACUAGGUCCUGUGCUUUCUACAUACACACUAAUAUCCUGUAUUAAAGUAGCUGUUGAUGGUUUUUCUUUACGUUUCCAGGCCAGGGAUCGGACUCAUGCCACUGCAGUGACCAGAUCCACAGCAGUGACAACGCCAGAUCCUCAACCCACUGCACCACAAGAGAAAUCCUAAAGUAGCUGCCAAUUUUGCCUUUAGCUCCCAAUUUUUAGGUGUAUUUCAGUGGAAAAUGGAAGGCAACAAUUAAAAGUAUUGAGUAUGUUGCUAGGAGUUUCCCUAUAGAGUUUUACUUAACCUUUCUAAUAAUUCUUCAAAGUCAAAAUUAUUAGCUUCAUUUUCGGAAGGAGGAAACUGAGAAGUUUACUGGCCCAUCCAAGGUCAUAGCAUUAAGGGGUGGACCUUAACUCACACCCAAAGGGUUUGUGCCAUCCAGGAGCCCUUGGCCAUCAGCCUUCUUGCCUUUCUUGUCCUAGCCUAAAAACAACCACAGUCCAGAAGAAGUUAAGUCAAUGUCCCCACCUGAAGGAGUCUGAUGCCAUAUUUAUCUGUCCUGUGGACUUAGUGGCAGGCGGAUUUGCAGCAGGGUGGUAAAAAUCUGCAUCUGAUAAGGAGUCACAGGCUUGGCUGGAAGCUUGAGGCUGGCAGAGGGGAGUCUCAGGAAGAAAUGUUAGACAGAAAAAGGAUUGCACUAACAUUUGUGUUUAAUUUUCUUUCUGUUCUAAAUGCUAUUCAACUUUUAUGGGAAGGAGAAAGUAGAGAGAGAUACCUUAUACGAGAGAUGUUCAAUUCCAAAAAUUAAAACCAGCUACCAUCCAAAACCGUGGGCCCCCAUACAAGUCUCAGCUGUGUUCGGUGGUUGCGCCGACACCCUAAACUUGCAAAUCAUCAGUUGACUUUAGAAUCCAGCUUAUUGUAAACGGGGCAAUUCCACGCAAGGCGGGUAUCUGAUUACAACCGGAAUUAUUAGUUGUUUAUAUCGAACAUUCCAGGGAAUGGAGCGCACAGGAGAAACAAACUCCCAGCGACGAAGUGCCCAAGGAGAUAGUGUCAAUGCCUCAAACUGGAUGGUCUGCCUCCUGGGCCCCACUUCUGGGCGUUGGGAGGGGUCGGGCUCUUCCAAAAGCCGCCGGGAUGAGGCCCAGAUAAUUAACUCUUCCCCUGCCGAGCCAGAGGCCCUCACCCUAAGGACACUCCGGCAGGCAGGCAGGCAAGCUGCGGUGAGGAGCCGACACCACCCCCUCGCCAGAGGGGACCGCCCACCUCCCCAGGCCUGCCCACUCCUUGCUGCGAAUCCGAGUCGCUCUCCCUAGCACUGGGCUAGGGUCCUCUUAAUUAGGAAACAAUAGCUAUUUAGAAAGAAGCGCCAAUACCCGCAGUUCUGCGCGCCCAAGCGUGGAGUUCUCGAGAGUUCCCGCGGGGCAAAACCUGGCUGCUCCGAGCGGAGGCAGAGGAAGAGAUCCAGCCGGCUUGCGAAGGCCGGGGCGUCAGGAACAGCCCGACCCGCCUCCCCGGGCCCCGCCCUCAGGCUUCCUGCUCCGCGGAGACCUGCUGGGUGCGGAGCCGCCCUCGUCACCGCUGCAGAUUUGAAGGGGAGGGGUUCAGAAACCCUCGGGGUGAUCGCGCAGAGCGCGGAAUUUAGUGGCUCGGCUGUCAGGGCGGUCCCUAGUCCAGCCUUAGUCCCCCGCGCCCGGCGCACGGUGUCACAGCCAAGAAGAAGUCCUUUUCUUCCCUGAAGGGAGCCGGCUCUCAAUCCCUCAGAGGGUGGAGAUUCCUUACGUUCCCUCCUCUCCCUCUCCAGGUCGGAGAAGAGAUGUGGGAUUAGGCUGGAUGAAUAUUCCGUGUGUUCUGUAAUUACGCACACACUGAAAUCUUCACCGUUGACUUAAGUUACUUGGCGCUGCGAGGGCUGGGGCCCCGCGUAUUGAUUAAACGCAGCCUCUAUUUACCUAAACAAUAAAUGUAGAGAUUAGCAACGUUCACUUGAUCACAAUAAUGGGGUCGA